CGCGUAGGCGGACAGUUUAGUCAGAGGUGAAAGCCCAGGGCUCAACCUUGGAAUUGCCUUUGAUACUGGCUGUCUUGAGUACGGGAGAGGUGAGUGGAACUCCGAGUGUAGAGGUGAAAUUCGUAGAUAUUCGGAAGAACACCAGUGGCGAAGGCGACUCACUGGCCCGUUACUGACGCUGAGGCGCGAAAGCGUGGGGAGCAAACAGGAUUAGAUACCCUGGUAGUCCACGCUGUAAACGAUGAGUGCUAGUUGUCGGCAUGCAUGCAUGUCGGUGACGCAGCUAACGCAUUAAGCACUCCGCCUGGGGGAGUACGGUCGCAAGAUUAAA
rnacentral:rRNA from 1 species